ACCUAGGCCUACCCAGCAGGAACAGUGGACUUCAUACGUGGUGUCCAAGACAUCACAUCAAAGCAAAUGGAAUCUACAACCAUGAUCACAGAAGGCCUGGGCCUUGGUAAAUUGCCUGUCAAGAACAACUGGGAAAACGGUUCCUUGUGGGCACUCACUUGAGUGUGUUCUGUGAAGAAAUCAGAGUCCUUCUUCUCUGGGGAGUGAUUAGG
rnacentral:lncRNA from 1 species